GCAGUGACAAUCCGGUGGGGGGGGGGGUCGGGACGGAGACGCACAGACACAGGACCCAUCGACUCGCGUGCGAUACGAGACAACUUUGCCGUGAGACUCGGCCGCGUGUGUAGUUCACGCACGACAUUGGCGGCCGUGCUGAGAGCAUCGACUUGACACUUGUGUGAACUCGGUUUAAUCACAACCCAGCCGGCCGCGGUAUGUCUCGGCGUCUUUGUGAGUCCUGCGUUCGACAAGCGCCAUGCACGGAAGCCACGCGGACCCCCGAAGAGAGACACAGAAAGAGAGAGGGAAAGAGAGAGAAGGGGGGG